GACGAACGCUGGCGGCGUGCUUAACACAUGCAAGUCGAACGGAAAGGCCCCCACCUUGGUGGGGGUGCUCGAGUGGCGAACGGGUGAGUAACACGUGGGUGAUCUGCCCUGUACUUCGGGAUAAGCUUGGGAAACUGGGUCUAAUACCGGAUAGGACCAUGGUUUAGUGUCUCAUGGUGGAAAAAUUAUUGUUUUGGUGCAGGAUGAGCUCGCGGCCUAUCAGCUUGUUGGUGGGGUAAUGGCCUACCAAGGCGUCGACGGGUAGCCGGCCUGAGAGGGUGGACGGACACAUUGGGACUGAGAGACGGCCCAGACUCCUACGGGAGGCAGCAGUGGGGAAUAUUGCACAAUGGGCGCAAGCCUGAUGCAGCGACGCCGCGUGGGGGAUGACGGCCUUCGGGUUGUAAACUCCUUUCGUUAGGGACGAAGCCACACCUUUUUUGGGUGUGGUGACGGUACCUUUGUUAAGAAGCACCGGCUAACUACGUG
rnacentral:rRNA from 1 species